UACGUAGGGUGCAAGCGUUGUCCGGAAUUAUUGGGCGUAAAGAGCUCGUAGGCGGUCAGUCGCGUCUGCUGUGAAAACUCGGGGCUUAACUCCGGGCCUGCAGUGGGUACGGGCUGACUAGAGUGCGGUAGGGGAGACUGGAAUUCCUGGUGUAGCGGUGAAAUGCGCAGAUAUCAGGAGGAACACCGGUGGCGAAGGCGGGUAGCUGGGCCGACACUGACGCUGAGGCGCGAAAGCCAGGGGAGCGAACAGG
rnacentral:rRNA from 1 species